UACAGAGACUGCAAGCGUUAUUCGGAUUCACUGGGCGUAAAGGGUGCGCAGGCGGCCAAGUGUGUGAGGCGUGAAAGCCUGGGGCUUAACUCCAGAAUUGCACCUCAAACUACAUGGCUAGAGCAUUGGAGAGGGUAGCAGAAUUCACGGUGUAGCAGUGAAAUGCGUAGAUAUCGUGAGGAAUCCAGAGGCGAAGGCGGCUACCUGGACAAUUGCUGACGCUCAGGCACGAAAGCGUGGGGGAGCAAAAAGGG
rnacentral:rRNA from 1 species